rnacentral:rRNA from 1 species
UACGGGGGGGGCAAGCGUUGUUCGGAAUUACUGGGCGUAAAGGGCUCGUAGGCGGCCAACUAAGUCAGACGUGAAAUCCCUCGGCUUAACCGGGGAACUGCGUCUGAUACUGGAUGGCUUGAGGUUGGGAGAGGGAUGCGGAAUUCCAGGUGUAGCGGUGAAAUGCGUAGAUAUCUGGAGGAACACCGGUGGCGAAGGCGGCAUCCUGGACCAAGACUGACGCUGAGGCGCGAAAGCGUGGGGAGCAAACAGG